rnacentral:ncRNA from 1 species
AAACAUGUUUUGAUGAGGACAUGAGUUUUAUUUUACGGUUUAAAGAGAGGGAAGUAUUGCUGAGAGCUUCCUAACACGAAAAUGCUUCUUACCACCUCUGAACUUCAGUAGGGAACUAAUAGUAUCUACUGACGGCUACAACCGUUAUUUCUCAUGAGUCACUAUUUUAAUGGUGUUCAAAAAAAAGGGGACGAUUUUUACCGUUACCAAAUUUUUUGAAGAUCUACUUUAGUGAGAAUGAGGGUGGAACCACGAGCAUAACACUCGUCCCUUUU